AUGGGAAAUUGCAUGGAAACAUACACGAUGAGGCCAAUGGAGAUGGAACAACAAAAAGAUGAGAUUAAUGAGAAUAAAAAUGGUGUAAGCAUGAAAAUUGUGCUAACAAAAGAGGAGCUUAAAUGGCUAUUAUUUCAACUGAAUGAAAAAGGAGGGAUGAAAGUGGAACAAGUGCUUGAAAAGAUAGAGAAAGGUAGACAAAAAAUUGAGGGGUGGAAACCUUCUUUAGAGAGCAUUGUUGAAGCUCCUGAAAUUCUUGAGAUCUGUUGA